UACGAUACGAGUUUGAUCAUGGCUCAGAACGAACGCUGGCGGCAGGCCUAACACAUGCAAGUCGAGCGGACCUUUCGGGGUCAGCGGCGGACGGGUUAGUAACGCGUGGGAACGUGCCCGAAGGUACGGAAUAGUCCCGGGAAACUGGGGGUAAUACCGUAUGUGCCCUAUGGGGGAAAGAUUUAUCGCCUUCGGAUCGGCCCGCGUUGGAUUAGGUAGUUGGUGGGGUAAUGGCCUACCAAGCCGACGAUCCAUAGCUGGUUUGAGAGGAUGAUCAGCAACACUGGGACUGAGACACGGCCCAGACUCCUACGGGAGGCAGCAGUGGGGAAUCUUAGACAAUGGGGGAAACCCUGAUCUAGCCAUGCCGCGUGAGCGAUGAAGGCCUUAGGGUUGUAAAGCUCUUUCAGCUGGGAAGAUAAUGACAGUACCAGCAGAAGAAGCCCCGGCUAACUCCGUG
rnacentral:rRNA from 1 species